UUUAACAGAUAUUACAAUUAAUCAGCAUAAGAACAUGUAAUAACAACAAACAACCUAUGCAUGUUAUUAAGCCAUGUGUUGUCAUCAUGAAAAACCAGAUUGAUUUAGAAAUUGUGUUGUCAACAAUCUCAACAAUUUCCCCUUUUUCGAUGAUGCACAACCAUGAUUAAUAACCAACCAUGUUUGCACAACCUAAUUCAAAACAACAAAAAUAUCAAGCAGAAUAUCAGAUAGAAUGAAAAUGCAGUCUCCCCCUUUCAUAAGGCUUUCAUACAAUCUCUCCCCCUUUGUGCAUUAGCAAAAAAGGUAUGCUCUAGAUAUUUAUGCUGAAAUAUCAAACAGAGAUGCAUCAAACAGUAAUAUGCAAUAAUCAAUAUGCAGUGAUGCUCUCAUUAGCACAUUUAAAUCACAUGAAAACGAUAACGCCCCCUGAAAUGCAGGCAUGUGAAAUACAAAUGUGUAUAAUGUG
rnacentral:lncRNA from 1 species